UGCAGUCGAGGGGUAUUAGGAGCUUGCUCCUAAGAGACCGGCGCACGGGUGCGUAACGCGUAUGCAAUCUACCUUAUACAGGGGAAUAGCCCAGAGAAAUUUGGAUUAAUGCCCCAUAGUGUUAUUGAAUCGCAUGGUUUAAUAACUAAAGUUCCAACGGUAUAAGAUGAGCAUGCGUCCCAUUAGUUAGUUGGUAAGGUAACGGCUUACCAAGACAAUGAUGGGUAGGGGUCCUGAGAGGGAGAUCCCCCACACUGGUACUGAGACACGGACCAGACUCCUACGGGAGGCAGCAGUGAGGAAUAUUGGUCAAUGGGCGCAAGCCUGAACCAGCCAUGCCGCGUGCAGGAAGACGGUCCUAUGGAUUGUAAACUGCUUUUAUACAGGAAGAAACAACUCUACGUGUAGAGUCUUGACGGUACUGUAGGAAUAAGGAUCGGCUAACUCCGUGCCAGCAGCCGCGGUAAUACGGAGGAUCCAAGCGUUAUCCGGAAUCAUUGGGUUUAAAGGGUCCGUAGGCGGUCUUAUAAGUCAGUGGUGAAAUCUCCUAGCUCAACUAGGAAACUGCCAUUGAUACUGUAAGACUUGAAUUUUUGUGAAGUAACUAGAAUAUGUAGUGUAGCGGUGAAAUGCUUAGAUAUUACAUGGAAUACCAAUUGCGAAGGCAGGUUACUAACAAACGAUUGACGCUGAUGGACGAAAGCGUGGGGAGCGAACAGGAUUAGAUACCCUGGUAGUCCACGCCGUAAACGAUGGAUACUAGCUGUUCGGAGCAAUCUGAGUGGCUAAGCGAAAGUGAUAAGUAUCCCACCUGGGGAGUACGCACGCAAGUGUGAAACUCAAAGGAAUUGACGGGGGCCCGCACAAGCGGUGGAGCAUGUGGUUUA
rnacentral:rRNA from 1 species